rnacentral:rRNA from 1 species
UACAGAGGUCCCAAGCGUUGUUCGGAUUCAUUGGGCGUAAAGCGUGCGCAGGCGGUUCGCUAAGACCGAUGUGAAAUCCCCGGGCUUAACCUGGGAACUGCAUUGGUGACUGGCGGGCUAGAGUAUGGCAGAGGGGGGUAGAAUUCCACGUGUAGCAGUGAAAUGCGUAGAGAUGUGGAGGAAUACCGAUGGCGAAGGCAGCCCCCUGGGCCAAUACUGACGCUCAUGCACGAAAGCGUGGGGAGCAAACAGG